rnacentral:rRNA from 1 species
UGGGGAAUUUUGGACAAUGGGCGAAAGCCUGAUCCAGCAAUGCCGCGUGUGUGAAGAAGGCCUUCGGGUUGUAAAGCACUUUUGUCCGGAAAGAAAUCCUUGGCUCUAAUACAGUCGGGGGAUGACGGUACCGGAAGAAUAAGCACCGGCUAACUACGUGCCAGCAGCCGCGGUAAUACGUAGGGUGCAAGCGUUAAUCGGAAUUACUGGGCGUAAAGCGUGCGCAGGCGGUUUGCUAAGACCGAUGUGAAAUCCCCGGGCUCAACCUGGGAACUGCAUUGGUGACUGGCAGGCUAGAGUAUGGCAGAGGGGGGUAGAAUUCCACGUGUAGCAGUGAAAUGCGUAGAGAUGUGGAGGAAUACCGAUGGCGAAGGCAGCCCCCUGGGCCAAUACUGACGCUCAUGCACGAAAGCGUGGGGAGCAAACAGGAUUAGAUACCCUGGUAGUCCACGCCCUAAACGAUGUCAACUAGUUGUUGGGGAUUCAUUUCCUUAGUAACGUAGCUAACGCGUGAAGUUGACCGCCUGGGGAGUACGGUCGCAAGAUUAAAACUUCAAAGGAAUUGACGGGGUCAUAGCUGUUUCCU